AACGAACGCUGGCGGCAGGCCUAACACAUGCAAGUCGAACGGUAGCACAGAGGAGCUUGCUCCUUGGGUGACGAGUGGCGGACGGGUGAGGAAUACAUCGGAAUCUACCCUGUCGUGGGGGAUAACGUAGGGAAACUUACGCUAAUACCGCAUACGAACUGAGGUUGAAAGCAGGGGACCGCAAGGCCUUGCGCGAUUGGAUGAGCCGAUGUCCGAUUAGCUAGUUGGUAAGGUAAAGGCUUACCAAGGCGACGAUCGGUAGCUGGUCUGGGAGGAUGAUCAGCCACACUGGAACUGGGACACGGUCCAGACUCCUACGGGAGGCAGCAGCGGGGAAUAUUGGACAAUGGGCGCAAGCCUGAUCCAGCCAUGCCGCGUGUGUGAAGAAGGCCUUCGGGUUGUAAAGCACUUUUGUUGGGAAAGAAAAGCGGUCGGUUAAUACCCGGUCGUACUGACGGUACCCAAAGAAUAAGCACCGGCUAACUUCGUGCCAGCAGCCGCCGCCGUAA
rnacentral:rRNA from 1 species